CCUAUCCAAUCUGCUACACCCCUCUGAGGCUGUCGGCAGGAGCAAGCAGAGAAAACCCAAGUGACACAGGCUGCUUGGACUUUCAAAGAGUGUUUGCCAAAUUCCCCUCCAGGCUGCCAUUCCGGCGGGCGAAGGCGCCCGGCCCAGACGGCACUGCGAGUGUCGGAUCAGAAAACCGCAGAGAGGCCGAAAGCGGGAAGGUUUCCUGAACACCGCGACGAACCCCGUAACCCAUGACGCUUCUCAGUAUACUUAACAGUAUCCAUAACAACCACUAUUCCUCGAGGAAAUUUUAAUUACAGCAUUCUCUGGAACUGUUGAUUGUUUAUUGUGAUGAGAUGAAGAACACGGGAAGAGAAGAUUCACAGAGAAACGUGCUUCAAACCAGGCUGAGGAAAAGGUUGCUUUACACUCUUUACUCCUGAUGCAUAAAGCCCCAUGUUAGGCAUAGGAUGGAGAAGAGAGAUCUUAAAAAAAAAAAUGUAAGGUGCCUGUACCUAGUAUUGCUCUUGGAAAAGUGAUCACUCUAAACAAAUUACAAGGGAGCUGAAGAAGCUGGAAGAUGUGCUGAUUCCAGAUUAAAAAGAAAA